rnacentral:rRNA from 1 species
GGGUUGUGAGGUUAAGCGACUAAGCGUACACGGUGGAUGCCCUGGCAGUCAGAGGCGAUGAAGGGCGUGCUAAUCUGCGAUAAGCGCCGGUAAGGUGAUAUGAACCGUUAUAACCGGCGAUACCCGAAUGGGGAAACCCAGUGUGAUUCGUCACACUAUCAUUAACUGAAUCCAUAGGUUAAUGAGGCGAACCGGGGGAACUGAAACAUCUAAGUACCCGAGGAAAAGAAAUCAACCGAGAUUCCCCCAGUAGCGGCGAGCGAACGGGGAGGAGCCCAGAGCCUGAAUCAGCAUGUGUGUUAGUGGAAGCGUCUGGAAAGGCGCGCGAUACAGGGUGACAGCCCCGUACACAAAAGCGCAUGUGCUGUGAGCUCGAUGAGUAGGGCGGGACACGUGGUAUCCUGUCUGAAUAUGGGGGGACCAUCCUCCAAGGCUAAAUACUCCUGACUGACCGAUAGUGAACCAGUACCGUGAGGGAAAGGCGAAAAGAACCCCGGCGAGGGGAGUGAAAAAGAACCUGAAACCGUGUACGUACAAGCAGUGGGAGCCCCACCACUAAGCCAGUGGUGAACUCCACAUACGCAUCCUUUGCUGAGGAUACGGUUAACGGAGCGAAAGCGACGUUCAACCUCAAAAGAAGCAGAGGGGGCUUAGUGGUGGGGUGACUGCGUACCUUUUGUAUAAUGGGUCAGCGACUUAUAUUCUGUAGCAAGGUUAACCGAAUAGGGGAGCCGGAGGGAAACCGAGUCUUAAUUGGGCGUUAAGUUGCAGGGUAUAGACCCGAAACCCGGUGAUCUAGCCAUGGGCAGGUUGAAGGUUGGGUAACACUAACUGGAGGACCGAACCGACUAAUGUUGAAAAAUUAGCGGAUGACCUGUGGCUGGGGGUGAAAGGCCAAUCAAACCGGGAGAUAGCUGGUUCUCCCGAAAGCUAUUUAGGUAGCGCCUCGUGAAUUCAUCUCCGGGGGUAGAGCACUGUUUCGGCUAGGGGGCCAUCCCGGCUUACCAACCCGAUGCAAACUGCGAAUACCGGAGAAUGUUAUCACGGGAGACACACGGCGGGUGCUAACGUCCGUCGUGAAGAGGGAAACAACCCAGACCGCCAGCUAAGGUCCCAAAGUCAUGGUUAAGUGGGAAACGAUGUGGGAAGGCCCAGACAGCCAGGAUGUUGGCUUAGAAGCAGCCAUCAUUUAAAGAAAGCGUAAUAGCUCACUGGUCGAGUCGGCCUGCGCGGAAGAUGUAACGGGGCUAAACCAUGCACCGAAGCUGCGGCAGCGACGCUUAUGCGUUGUUGGGUAGGGGAGCGUUCUGUAAGCCUGUGAAGGUGGCCUGUGAGGGUUGCUGGAGGUAUCAGAAGUGCGAAUGCUGACAUAAGUAACGAUAAAGCGGGUGAAAAGCCCGCUCGCCGGAAGACCAAGGGUUCCUGUCCAACGUUAAUCGGGGCAGGGUGAGUCGACCCCUAAGGCGAGGCCGAAAGGCGUAGUCGAUGGGAAACAGGUUAAUAUUCCUGUACUUGGUGUUACUGCGAAGGGGGGACGGAGAAGGCUAUGUUGGCCGGGCGACGGUUGUCCCGGUUUAAGCGUGUAGGUGUGUGUUCCAGGUAAAUCCGGUUCACUUUAACACUGAGGCGUGAUGACGAGGCACUACGGUGCUGAAGCAACAAAUGCCCUGCUUCCAGGAAAAGCCUCUAAGCAUCAGGUAACAUCAAAUCGUACCCCAAACCGACACAGGUGGUCAGGUAGAGAAUACCAAGGCGCUUGAGAGAACUCGGGUGAAGGAACUAGGCAAAAUGGUGCCGUAACUUCGGGAGAAGGCACGCUGACACGUAGGUGAAGUGAUUUACUCACGGAGCUGAAGUCAGUCGAAGAUACCAGCUGGCUGCAACUGUUUAUUAAAAACACAGCACUGUGCAAACACGAAAGUGGACGUAUACGGUGUGACGCCUGCCCGGUGCCGGAAGGUUAAUUGAUGGGGUCAGCGCAAGCGAAGCUCCUGAUCGAAGCCCCGGUAAACGGCGGCCGUAACUAUAACGGUCCUAAGGUAGCGAAAUUCCUUGUCGGGUAAGUUCCGACCUGCACGAAUGGCGUAAUGAUGGCCAGGCUGUCUCCACCCGAGACUCAGUGAAAUUGAACUCGCUGUGAAGAUGCAGUGUACCCGCGGCAAGACGGAAAGACCCCGUGAACCUUUACUAUAGCUUGACACUGAACAUUGAGCCUUGAUGUGUAGGAUAGGUGGGAGGCUUUGAAGUGUGGACGCCAGUCUGCAUGGAGCCGACCUUGAAAUACCACCCUUUAAUGUUUGAUGUUCUAACGUGGACCCGUAAUCCGGGUUGCGGACAGUGUCUGGUGGGUAGUUUGACUGGGGCGGUCUCCUCCUAAAGAGUAACGGAGGAGCACGAAGGUUGGCUAAUCCUGGUCGGACAUCAGGAGGUUAGUGCAAUGGCAUAAGCCAGCUUGACUGCGAGCGUGACGGCGCGAGCAGGUGCGAAAGCAGGUCAUAGUGAUCCGGUGGUUCUGAAUGGAAGGGCCAUCGCUCAACGGAUAAAAGGUACUCCGGGGAUAACAGGCUGAUACCGCCCAAGAGUUCAUAUCGACGGCGGUGUUUGGCACCUCGAUGUCGGCUCAUCACAUCCUGGGGCUGAAGUAGGUCCCAAGGGUAUGGCUGUUCGCCAUUUAAAGUGGUACGCGAGCUGGGUUUAGAACGUCGUGAGACAGUUCGGUCCCUAUCUGCCGUGGGCGCUGGAGAACUGAGGGGGGCUGCUCCUAGUACGAGAGGACCGGAGUGGACGCAUCACUGGUGUUCGGGUUGUCAUGCCAAUGGCACUGCCCGGUAGCUAAAUGCGGAAGAGAUAAGUGCUGAAAGCAUCUAAGCACGAAACUUGCCCCGAGAUGAGUUCUCCCUGAGACUUAAAGUCUCCUGAAGGAACGUUGAAGACGACGACGUUGAUAGGCCGGGUGUGUAAGCGCAGCGAUGCGUUGAGCUAACCGGUACUAAUGAACCGUGAGGCUUAACCUUACAACGCCGAAG